rnacentral:rRNA from 1 species
AGCGAACGCUGGCGGCAGGCCUAACACAUGCAAGUCGAACGGACCCUUCGGGGUUAGUGGCGGACGGGUGAGUAACACGUGGGAACGUGCCCUUUGGUUCGGAACAACUCAGGGAAACUUGAGCUAAUACCGAAUGUGCCCUUCGGGGGAAAGAUUUAUCGCCAUUGGAGCGGCCCGCGUCUGAUUAGCUAGUUGGUGAGGUAAUGGCUCACCAAGGCGACGAUCAGUAGCUGGUCUGAGAGGAUGAUCAGCCACAUUGGGACUGAGACACGGCCCAAUCUCCUACGGGAGGCAGCAGUGGGGAAUCUUGCGCAAUGGGCGAAAGCCUGACGCAGCCAUGCCGCGUGAAUGAUGAAGGUCUUAGGAUUGUAAAAUUCUUUCACCGGGGACGAUAAUGACGGUACCGUAAGAAUAAGGAUCGGCUAACUCCGUGCCAGCAGCCGCCGCAGUAA